CAACUUUCAACAACGGAUCUCUUGGUUCUGGCAUCGAUGAAGAACGCAGCGAAAUACGAUAAGUAGUGUGAAUUGCAGAAUUCAGUCAAUCAUCCAAUCUUUGAACGCACUUUGCGCCCUUUGCGAUUCCAAAGGCCAUCCUUGUCCGAGCCACAUUU
rnacentral:rRNA from 1 species